GGUGGUUCUUGGGUGACCCACCCCAGAAUCAGGCUCCCUCCUCUCGGUUCCGGGUGUGUCACCUGAGAACUGCA
rfam:Myotis davidii contig47706, whole genome shotgun sequence.